rnacentral:rRNA from 1 species
UACGUAGGGGGCAAGCGUUGUCCGGAAUUAUUGGGCGUAAAGCGCGCGCAGGCGGUUUGUUAAGUCUGAUGUAUAAGCCCAAGGCUCAACUUUGGGAGGCAUUGGAAACUGGGAGACUAGAGUGUAGGAGAGGAAAGUGGAAUUCCACGUGUAGCGGUGAAAUGCGUAGAGAUCGGGAGGAACACCAGUGGCGAAGGCGGCCUUCUGGACCAAUACUGACGCUCAUGCACGAAAGCGUGGGGAGCAAACAGG